UACGAGGGGGGCAAGCGUUGUUCGGAAUUAUUGGGCGUAAAGGGUGCGUAGGCGGUUUGACAAGUCUCAUGUGAAAUCUUCGGGCUCAACCCGAAGUCUGCAUGGGAAACUGUCGGGCUUGAGUAUGGGAGAGGUGAGUGGAAUUUCCGGUGUAGCGGUGAAAUGCGUAGAUAUCGGAAGGAACACCAGUGGCGAAGGCGGCCUCCUGGACUAACACUGACGCUGAGGUACGAAAGCGUGGGGAUCAAACAGG
rnacentral:rRNA from 1 species